rnacentral:rRNA from 1 species
AGAGUUUGAUUAUGGCUCAGGAUGAAUGCUGGCGGCAUGCCUAAUACAUGCAAGUCGAGCGGUAACAGGACUAGCUUGCUAGUGCUGACGAGCGGCGGACGGCUGAGUAACGCGUGGGAAUGCACCCCAAACUGAGGGAUAACGCACCGAAAGGUGUGCUAAUACCGCAUGUGAUCUUCGGAUUAAAGUCUUCGGACGGUUUGGGAGCAGCCUGCGUACGAUUAGAUAGUUGGCGGGGUAAAGGCCCACCAAGUCGACGAUCGUUAGAUGGUUUGAGAGGAUGAUCAUCCAGACUGGGACUGAGACACGGCCCAGACUCCUACGGGAGGCAGCAGUAGGGAAUCUUUCACAAUGGGCGAAAGCCUGAUUGGGAGCAAUGCCGCGUGCAGGACGAAGGCCUUCGGGUUGUAAACUGCUUUUAUAAGCGAGGAAUAUGACGGUAACUUAUGAAUAAGGAUCGGCUAACUACGUGCCAGCCGCCGC